UACGUAGGGUGCGAGCGUUGUCCGGAUUUAUUGGGCGUAAAGAGCUCGUAGGCGGUUUGUCGCGUCGGAUGUGAAAAUCCAGGGCUCAACCCUGGACCUGCAUUCGAUACGGGCAGACUAGAGUUCGGUAGGGGAGACUGGAAUUCCUGGUGUAGCGGUGAAAUGCGCAGAUAUCAGGAGGAACACCGGUGGCGAAGGCGGGUCUCUGGGCAGAAAUUGACGCUGAGGAGCGAAAGCGUGGGGAGCAAACAGG
rnacentral:rRNA from 1 species